rnacentral:lncRNA from 1 species
AAGUAUAUAGAUGGUUCUUUUGGCUAGGUUAUAUAUAAGAAGAAAUGAUCUGCCGACUGGAGAAAAUGGACUUUUGGAUUCAUUGACUGUUAAGUCAUAUCUAGUCCGUGAAUCAUCUCUUUGAGGAUUAAUGAUCAAGCUAUCCUUUUGUGGAUCAAAGAGAUAGGAUCACUGAGAUACUUAUCCUAGUAUACAUACGAUGUGCAUGGCCCAUUUGAUGAGCUAGACUAAAAGGUUAUCACUACUUCAUC